CAAAUCAUCAGCAUUUCCCUCAAAACUAGCAGUGGAAUCAACUUGAUCCUAAUUUCAAGCACUAGCAUAUUCAUCGUCUAACAAAUAUAGUAGCAGAUCUAUGUAAUGAAAGAAUAUUAUCAUUAAUAAAGGAAAUAUUAUGAAAAGUCAGCCACUGAGAUCAAGAGAUUUCUUGUUCUUGUCUCAUCCCAUAUUGAAAUAUAAUUUCUUCAGGUUUUCAUUAGUCAUUUGUUCCUUCUAAGGAUUGAUGAAUACAGUUUGCAAAUUGUUUGCCUAUUAUAAUUCUAAAAUAAUUCAUUAUCAAGAGCCACUGAAAAGAGAAAGAUCACUUUCAUGUCAAAAAUAGCAUAUUUAGUAAAAUCAGCAAGAAUAGAACUACCAACUUAUUGAGAAACAAUAUUAUCAAAUUCAUUAGGAGUCAGACAUAUAGAAAAUUAUAAAUGAUAUAAAUAUGACUGAUUAUUAUUUAUAAUCUGAUCGGGGAGAAUAAAGUUUUUCUUCAACCUACUCAACUCGAAUCUCUCAUAAGAUAACUAGAAAAAGAUGGAAGGAAUUGCAAAAGUAGGCCUUAAUUCUUCCUUUCUUUCAUUGAUCAUCUACACCUCCUAAACUAAGGUACAUAGCCCCUAUUUAUAAUACUAGCAAGAUCCCCCCUUUCAUAAUUUGGGUUGGACUCCUCUCUUAGUUCGAAUAGGUAUCUAAAAUUAAAUAUAACUAA
rnacentral:lncRNA from 1 species